AGAGGCAUUCAGUGGAUUCCUUGAUGUACCUCUAAGUUUGUUUUUCUCUUGUCCCAUAUCUCUGAGAAAGCCUCCAUUCCCAAAGCAAAUACAAAGGAGAGAUUUGGAGAGGCAUUUUAUGUGAUUAAAACUUCUCUCAGUGCUUGCUCCUCCUAACCACAACUGUCUUUGUUUCCAUAGCUGUGCAGUGAGUUCGUACACACUAGUGACUUACACAAUACCCAUUGUCACCUCACACGUUCAGUAGGUCAGAAGUCCAGGAAGGCACACACUGUGUUAUCAGCACAGGCUCCCACAAGGUUAAAUUCAAAGUGUCAAGCCAGGUUUUCGUCUGGAGCUUGGGACCGUCUUCUGAGCUCACUGGGAUUGUCUGAAAGAUCUAGCUCUUGGCAGGUAAACACAGAACACUGGAUGCAGAUGGUUUCCACCUGGCAGGCACAGACACACACCGUGACUGGCUUCGAUGCCAAAGAACAACAGGAACUCACUGACUGCCAUAAUUCAGCAUGCAGAAAAUCAGAGUGGUCUGUAAACCGACGAUUUUAUGCUAAUGCAACACAGUGCACAGAAAGAGUAUCUGGAUAUUACUUCUGCUGAAUGCUCAGUUUGAAAGCAACAGUGAACAAACAUGAGUCCUGCCAUAUGAUACCAUACCCCAAAAGGAAUAACCAGCCACCUGAUGGCAGAUUAACUACAUAAGGCUUCUUCCAACAUGAUGAGUGUGGAAUCCCUGCUGUCUGAAAUUGAUACAUUCUAGACAUGGAUUUGUCCAUCUUGUCUACCAAGUUUCUGCCAGCAACAUCAUCUGUCAACUGACCAAAUGCUUCACUCUCUGUCACUAUAAUUCAUGUAACAUUGGUUCUGACUAGAGAUCUUAUUUUACAGCAGAAUGAUUAGGACCUCAGACUGAUGCAUUUAGGAGACAUUAAUAUUUCCAACUAGAAGCAGAUGGCUUUAUACAAAAGUGAAAUGACUUAUUAAAGAUUUAGUUUUGGUUCCUGUAUUAGAAGAUAUGGCACAAAAUUAGGAUGACAUCUUGUAGAAUGCAACAUAUGCCAUAAAAUAGCAUCUAAUACAUAGUGUUUCUUCAGCCAUGGCCAGAAAUAUGAGCUUAGGAACCAGGAAAUGAAAUGGGAGUGGUACUUCUCACUUUUCCCUUAAUGGCUCACUAACAUGAAUUUAAGUUCACAUCUUUGCCACUUUCAACUGCUUUGGUUUAAGGAUCUUGAUACUCAAGGGAGGAAUACUUCCACCAAGAGCGCAGCAGUGUCUCAAGCCAUUUGACGGAGCAGACAAGGGGAUUACCAUGUUGGCUGUGGGGUUAAGCAAGAUUAGAAAGGAAUAAUUACUGUUAUGCAAUGGAAACACAAAAGAGUUCCUCUAACUCAAGAAUUUCAAUAGGAUAUUUCUUAACAUUUCCAUGUCUAUUAGUAAAAAUUAAUGGAAAAUUAGAGUAGCCUCAUACAAGAAGAGCCAGCAGGGGCUCAAUUCCCAGUGAAUGGAAUUUGGGUCUACUCAAUAGGUAAGAAAUUCAGCUAACUGAGUCACCACUGACCUAAA